UUCAAAUGGAGAAUUAAAAAUCAAACCAUAACAAAUUAAACUAGGUUAAUUAGACAUAAUUAAAUAUAAAAAUAAAAACAAUUAUUAAAAUAAAUCAAAAAUCAAAAAUAAAAAUAAGGAAAGUUAAAUAACAAUCGAAAUAUUAAUCAUGAAUUAUUUGAGAGUUUUUGGAUAAAAGGAGGUAUUUUAAAUAAAAACAAAAUAAACAAUUAU
rnacentral:lncRNA from 1 species